rnacentral:rRNA from 1 species
AACGAACGUUAGCGGCGCGCCUAACACAUGCAAGUCGCACGAGAAAGGGCUUCGGCCCCGGUAAAGUGGCGCACGGGUGAGUAACACGUGGGUAAUCUGCCCUCGAGCUGGGGAUAACAUUCCGAAAGGAGUGCUAAUACCGAAUAAGACCACGACCUCGAAAGGGGAUGCGGUCAAAGCUGGCCUCUAUACAUAAGCUAGCACUUGAGGAUGAGCCCGCGGCGCAUCAGCUAGUUGGUGAGGUAAUGGCUCACCAAGGCUAAGACGCGUAGCUGGUCUGAGAGGAUGAUCAGCCACACUGGAACUGAGACACGGUCCAGACUCCUACGGGAGGCAGCAGUGGGGAAUA